GAUGAACGCUGGCGGCGUGCCUAAUACAUGCAAGUCGAGCGAACAGAUGAGGAGCUUGCUCCUCUGACGUUAGCGGCGGACGGGUGAGUAACACGUGUAUAACCUACCUAUAAGACUGGGAUAACUUCGGGAAACCGGAGCUAAUACCGGAUAAUAUAUUGCACCGCAUGGUUCAAUAGUGAAAGACGGUUUUGCUGUCACUUAUAGAUGGAUCCGCGCCGCAUUAGAUAGUUGGUAAGUUAACGGCUUAUCAAGGCAACGAGGCGUAGCCGACCGGAGAGGGUGAUCGGCCACACUGGAGCUGAGACACGGUCCAGGCUCCUACGGGAGGCAGCAGUAGGGAAUCUUCCGCAAUGGGCGAAAGCCUGACGGAGCAACGCCGCGUGAGUGAUGAAGGUCUUCGGAGCGUAAAACUCUGUUAUUAGGGAAGAACAAAUGUGUAAGUAACUAUGCACGUCUUGACGGUACCUAAUCAGAAAGCCACGGCUAACUACGUG
rnacentral:rRNA from 1 species